rnacentral:rRNA from 1 species
GGUUAAGUCCCGCAACGAGCGCAACCCUUGUCGUUAAUUGCCAUCAUUUAGUUGGGCACUUUAGCGAAACUGCCGGUGACAAACCGGAGGAAGGUGGGGGAUGACGUCAAGUCCUCAUGGCCCUUAUGGGUAGGGCUUCACACGUCAUACAAUGGUCGGUACAGAGGGUUGCCAAACCGCGAGGUGGAGCUAAUCUCUUAAAGCCGAUCGUAGUCCGGAUCGUAGUCUGCAACUCGACUACGUGAAGUCGGAAUCGCUAGUAAUCGCAGAUCAGCAUGCUGCGGUGAAUACGUUCCCGGGUCUU